UACCCUUGACAUGCCACUAACGAAGCAGAGAUGCAUUAGGUGCUCGAAAGAGAAAGUGGACACAGGUGCUGCAUGGCUGUCGUCAGCUCGUGUCGUGAGAUGUUGGGUUAAGUCCCGCAACGAGCGCAACCCUUGUCUCUAGUUGCUACGAAAGGGCACUCUAGAGAGACUGCCGGUGACAAACCGGAGGAAGGUGGGGAUGACGUCAAGUCCUCAUGGCCCUUAUGGGUAGGG
rnacentral:rRNA from 1 species